GACGAACGCUGGCGGCGUGCUUAACACAUGCAAGUCGAACGGAAAGGCCUGCUUUCCCUUGUGGAUUGCGAGUACUCGAGUGGCGAACGGGUGAGUAACACGUGAGUGAUCUGCCCCCAACUUGGGUAUAAGCCUGGGAAACUGGGUCUAAUUCCCGAUAGGACUGCAGGGUGGUGCCUGUGGUGGAAAACGAUUUUCUAGUGGUUGGGGAUGAGCUCGCGGCCUAUCAGCUUGUUGGUGGGGUAAUGGCCUACCAAGGCGGCGACGGGUAGCCGGCCUGAGAGGGUGGACGGCCACAUUGGGACUGAGAUACGGCCCAGACUCCUACGGGAGGCAGCAGUGGGGAAUAUUGCACAAUGGGCGGAAGCCUGAUGCAGCGACGCCGCGUGGGGGAUGACGGCCUUCGGGUGGUAAACUCCUUUCGAUCGCGAGGAAGCCACCUGGUUGGAAGGGUGGUGACGGUAGUGGUAGAAGAAGCACCGGCUAACUACGUG
rnacentral:rRNA from 1 species